GACGAACGCUGGCGGCGUGCUUAACACAUGCAAGUCGAGCGGUAAGGCCCUUUCGGGGGUACGACGAGCGGCGAACGGGUGAGUAACACGUGGGUGACCUGCCCUCAGCUCUGGGAUAAGCCUGGGAAACCGGGUACUAAUACCGGAUAUGACUCCAUGACGCAUGUUGUGGGGUGGAAAGCCUUGUGCGGCUGAGGAUGGGCCCGCGGCCUAUCAGCUUGUUGGUGGGGUGAUGGCCUAACCAAGGCGACGACGGGUAGCCGGCCUGAGAGGGCGACCGGCCACACUGGGACUGAGACACGGCCCAGACUCCUACGGGAGGCAGCAGUGGGGAAUCUUGCGCAAUGGGCGAAAAGCCUGACGCAGCGACGCCGCGUGAGGGAUGACGGCCU
rnacentral:rRNA from 1 species